rnacentral:lncRNA from 1 species
GGGCUUCACAAAUAGUUUUUAAAGUUACAUCAACAGCCUAGUCGAUAUAGCCAUGCCCAUAGAAGGAUCAUCCUCUUACUCAAGUUUGGUGGCUCUCAGAUCUAAAAAAUACCAUAUAUACUCUGGAAACUCUUGUGGCAACAAUGCGGACUUUAAAUUUCAUUAUUUUCAGUGCACUCACACGAACAGGGACAGUGUAAACACGCCCUCGUGCAUACAUACACCGUUCGAGCCAUCAUGGCCGCCGAUGGGGAUGCGCAGAGCCGUCGUUGUACGCAUGUCGGAGGACGACCGAUACACAAAAUAGGGUCCAGACCUGGAUCGGUAGCUGCUUCAAACCCAUCGUUUUGUUUUCAUUGCGUUUUAAUCAACUCGCUGAACUGCAGUUGAGACUUAUGAGGACUGGGACAGGACGGCGAAAGCAGGCAGACCAUAAAAGUGAGGUAAGCGCAUUGCGAUUAAGAAUAUUUAUGAAAUUAUUGCGGCUAUUACGUCCCCAUUCCCAUUCGAGCUCCCCCCCGAGGUGCGAGGUGCGAUGUCAGAUGUGCGAGGUACCGAAUGCCAAAACCGCACGCAACGUAGGGCGAUGGAUGUCGAUGGCGCUGUUUGAUGGCCGAUGACUGUGACUGGCGCUAAUGACUUUAGUACCUCUCAUAAAUCCAUUCAAGCACACAAACGGAAUAAGAGCGAGCCGGGCAACGGCAACAGGAGUGGGAAUGGCAACGGCAACGGGCUGGCCUGGGCAUUCAUUGAGUGGUUGCGCUAUUAAGUGCGCCAUCAACGAUGGCGCUCAAUUGAGGAGAUUCCUCCAUAAAACGAGCAAACGGCGAAAAGGCAAAGGUCCUUAGCGGGUCGGAAUGCACUUAACACCUGAUCGGUAAUGAAGUGUGCACGGGAUAAAAGCACACAGCCCCUCACUCUAGAGUCUAGAGAAAACAAUGUAUGAUUGUGUGAAGGGACUAUUUUCGACCGGG